UACGAAGGAUCCAAGCGUUGUCCGGAUUUACUGGGUUUAAAGCGUGCGCAGGCGGUUUGUUAAGACAGAUGUGAAAUCCCCGGGCUUAACCUGGGAACUGCAUUUGUGACUGGCAAGCUAGAGUAUGGCAGAGGGGGGUAGAAUUCCACGUGUAGCAGUGAAAUGCGUAGAGAUGUGGAGGAAUACCGAUGGCGAAGGCAGCCCCCUGGGCCAAUACUGACGCUCAUGCACGAAAGCGUGGGGAGCAAACAGG
rnacentral:rRNA from 1 species